rnacentral:rRNA from 1 species
AGUGAACGCUGGCGGUAGGCCUAACACAUGCAAGUCGAACGGCAGCACAGUAAGCGCUUGCUCUUACGGGUGGCGAGUGGCGGACGGGUGAGGAAUACAUCGGAAUCUACUUUUUCGUGGGGGAUAACGUAGGGAAACUUACGCUAAUACCGCAUACGACCUACGGGUGAACGCAGGGGAUCUUCGGACCUUGCGCGAUUGAAUGAGCCGAUGUCGGAUUAGCUAGUUGGCGGCGUAAAGGCCCACCAAGGCGACGAUCCGUAGCUGGUCUGAGAGGAUGAUCAGCCACACUGGAACUGAGACACGUUCCACACUCCUACGGGAGGCAGCCGUGGGGAAUAUUGGACAAUGGGCGCAUGCCUGAUCCAGCCAUACCGCGUGGGUGAAGAAGGCCUUCGGGUUGUAGAGCCCUUUUGUUGGGAAAGAAAAGCAGCAGGUUAAUACCCCGCUGUUCUGACGGUACCCAAAGAAGAAGCACCGGCUAACUUCGUG